GAUGAACGCUGGCGGCGUGCCUAGUACAUGCAAGUCGAGCGAACAGACGAGGAGCUUGCUCCUCUGACGUUAGCGGCGGACGGGUGAGUAACACGUGGAUAACCUACCUAUAAGACUGGGAUAACUUCGGGAAACCGGAGCUAAUACCGGAUAACAUGUUGAACCGCAUGGUUCAACAGUGAAAGACGGUCUUGCUGUCACUUAUAGAUGGAUCCGCGCCGCAUUAGCUAGUUGGUAAGGUAACGGCUUACCAAGGCAACGAUGCGUAGCCGACCUGAGAGGGUGAUCGGCCACACUGGAACUGAGACACGGUCCAGACUCCUACGGGAGGCAGCAGUAGGGAAUCUUCCGCAAUGGGCGAAAGCCUGACGGAGCAACGCCGCGUGAGUGAAGAAGGUCUUCGGAUCGUAAAACUCUGUUAUUAGGGAAGAACAAAUGUGUAAGUAACUAUGCACGUCUUGACGGUACCUAAUCAGAAAGCCACGGCUAACUACGUG
rnacentral:rRNA from 1 species